AUCAACGCUGGCGGCGUGCCUCAGACAUGCAAGUCGAACGAUUAAACUUUCCUUUCGGGAAAGAUAUAAAGUGGCGCACGGGUGAGUAACACGUAGGUAAUGUGCCUUUGGGUGGGGAAUAACUUAGGGAAACUUAAGCUAAUACCGCAUAAUGCAGCGGCUCCUUCGGGAGACAGUUGUUAAAGAUUUAUCGCCUAAAGAGCAGCCUGCGGCAGAUUAGCUAGUUGGUAAGGUAACGGCUUACCAAGGCGACGAUCUGUAUCCGACCUGAGAGGGUGGUCGGACACACUGACACUGAAUAACGGGUCAGACUCCUACGGGAGGCAGCAGUCGGGAAUUUUGGGCAAAUGGGCGAAAGCCUGACCCAGCAACGCCGCGUGAAGGAUGAAGUCUUUCGGGAUGU
rnacentral:rRNA from 1 species